rnacentral:lncRNA from 1 species
UCCUUUAUGUACAUCUUGGCGGCGUCUUGUUUUAGGUACCGGCAGCACCAAGGAGUUUCUUAGAAUCAUUGUUGUGCAAAAUUGGCCUGGCCGUUUCCUCUUCUUUUUUCAAUGGAGAAGCCGCUGCAGGUGCUUGUGGAUUACGUAUGAUACUCGCUCCCAGUGCAAGUUGUCUGGAGGUUUUUGAAGUCAACGGAAGGUUUCUGCGCUCAGCGAGUCAAACCAUGCAGACACCAUCAUGCCAAAGAAAUUGUUCAUAAGAAGUGCAUAUUUUCUUUUCAUUUCUCCCUUUUUGUAUUGUCAACUUUCUUAGCUACAUGACGGUGUUUGAGCUGUUGCUCACCUGCAUUCAUCACAAACGUAAUGUUCAAUUAUUCCUCCCCAUCAUGCCUGGCUCACAUGCUCUUCCAGAGCCUUAGAGCUGUACUAUCUGUGUGUGUGUGUGUGUGUGUGUGUGUACAUUUCAUGUACCCAUCUCUAUGACCAUGAUCACGCACACACACAUACACACUGACACACAUUUAUCCAUUUGUUAAGUGCAAGUGUGGAGCUCUCCACUGACUCGCUCGUCCCAUCAGCAGAUCUGGAGUGCCCAAUGAUGAUUGAUGAGCAGUAUCUCUAUGUGUGCAGCAGCAACACAUGCUUCCAGUAGCUUCCAUCACAUGCCCCAGGUCUCUGUGUCCCCUUCCUGCCCCUUUUCCCUUUCCCAAAUUCCUCUCCUGCAUCUGAAUCUGUGUACUGGUGCUGCAAACCUGAGGGCUCUCCAACCCAGCUGGUUAACUAGUCAGCUGCACACAGAAUUCGGAUCUGUGUUACAGUGGGCAGUGACACUGUCCACCCUCCAAUGUCACCCUGUCACCAUGUUCAGGGGAUGCAUCCAUGCAGCCAUCAUCACCAACACCAGCAAGAUGAUAUUUCUGUUGGUCACUUUCAGAGGCAAAUGCUGGUCACUUUCAGUCAGAGGAAAUGCAGCACCAUUUUGAUCUUGAGAUUGUUUUGUGGAUCCAAUGCAUCAGGCUAAGAAACAAAUCCAAGAUGUCAAAUGCUCCCCACCCAUCACUGCCCCAUUUUCACACAGCAGAAACCCCCAAACCAGCUGCAUGGAUCGGUGCCAGCCAGAAGAUACAAACAACACAGACAACACAUCAGAUUUGUCCCAAAGUACACUAAUAUUAAUUGGAACUUUGGAAGAUACUGCACUAGUACAUAAUGGUCCAUAGAUGCAGCAUGCAUGCACGCAUGUAUCCUACUCCCUCCAUUCCUAAAUAUAAGUUUUUUUAGAGAUUUCAAUAUGGACUACUCCAUACGAAGUAAAAUGAGUGAAUCUACAGUUUAAAAUACAUAUGUAUACAUCCAUAUGUACUCCCUCCGUUCCGAAUUACUUGUCUUAGAUUUGUCUAGAUACGGAGAUAUCUAGCACUAAAAUGAGUCUAGAUCCGUAUCUAGACAAAUUCAAGACAAGCAAUUCGGAACGGAGGGAAUAGUUCAUAUUGAAAUCUCUAAAAUGACUUGUACUCCCUCCGUUCUAAAUUACUCGUCGCAGAAAUGGAUGUAUCUAAAACUAAAAUACAUCUAGAUACAUUCAUACCUGCGACAAGUAACUCGGAACGGAGAGACUAUUUAGAAACGGAGGGAGUAGCAAAUUUUUUUUGAGCAAAAUUAUUAUUAGUAAGCUGUAUGUGCAUACACACACACACACACACCAGUGUCCAGCCCAUGAAUGAAUUGAAAUAAAAUGGAAGGGAUUGGUAGUCCAGCCAUGGAUGCCAAUUAUGUACUCGUUGGUCUGUCUCCAGCCAGCUGAGCUGAUCCCCCGGAAGACACGCACAUUAGUCCCACCUCGCCCAGCGGGGAGCUCAUCACCCACCUUAUCACCCGCAACCACCACGUCGUCCGUCCUCCCCUGCGCUAUAUAUCCCUCUCCCCCUCCACCUGCGCCUCCUCUCCUCCGUUCCCUUUUCUUCCUCAGCUCCGGCGGCAGCGAGCGUAAGAGCGGCGUGCGAGCUCCGGCGGCAGUAGCAGUGUGCGUGCAUGACGCGGCCGCUGCUGUAGUUUAGUUUACAGAGGUUUCUGCCGGCCAUGCAUGCGCAGAGGGUGAGCGGCGAGCAGGCGGGCCCGGCGAUGCCGUGCGAGAUCGCGGCGGACGACAUGCCGGCGGCGAGGAACGGGCACUACAGGCCGGGCAAGGCGGUGACGGCGUCGGUGUACCGCGCCAAGGUGGCCGGCCACUCGCGGGUGGUGACGGUGUCGUGGUCGCGGGACCUGCUGUCGCACGCCUUCGCCGUCGCCAUCUCCGGCGCGGACGGCGCGUCGGCGGAGUGCCGUGUCGACCUGCGGCCGUGGCAGUUCUGGCGGCGCGCGGGGUCCCGGCGCGUGGACCUGGGCGGCGCCACGGUGCGCGUGCUCUGGGACCUGCGCCGCGCGCGCUGGCACGGCGCCGGCGCGGGCCUCCCGGACCCGCGCGCCGGGUACUACGUCGCCGUGGAGGCCGGCGGCGAGGUGGCGCUGGUGCUCGGCGACCUCCGCAAGGCGGCGCUCCGGCGCGCGUCGCCCAGCGCCCCGCCCGCGCUCGCCGCCGUCCCCGUCGCGCGCAGGGAGCACGUGUUCGGCCGGCGGAGGUUCGCGGCCAAGGCGCGGUUCCACGACCAGGGCGCCGUCCACGACGUGGCCAUCGACGUCGGCGGCGAGGACGACAUGGAGAUGGCCAUCGCCAUCGACGGCGAGGAGGCGGUCGCCGUCAAGCACCUGCAGUGGAAGUUCCGGGGCAACCAGUCCGUCACCUUCGGCCGGGCCAAGGUGGAGGUGUACUGGGACGUGCACGACUGGCUCUUCGCGGGCGCCGCCGGCGGCGCCCGCCCGGCGCUCUUCAUCUUCCGCCCCAUCGUGUUGUCCAGCGCGUCCGUGGGGGCCUCCACGCCGCUCCUCGCCGGCGUCGACGGCGCCGCGGGCGCCACCGGGUUCUGCCUCUACCUCUACGCCUGGAAGCUCGACUGAUCGAUCCACAAUUCGUUCGAUCCAUCAUAGACAUUGUCCAUCCUCCUCCUUAUCAUCAUAAAACAAAAAUGUGAAACCAAGAUGAGUGCAACGUAGUAACAAUUUUCUCCGAUUUUGUAACUCUUUCUUGUUCCGGAAACGGCAUAAUUGAAUAUAAUUCUUUCAAAAACCACACAAACAUAGUGGUUCACUUCAAUUCAUUCCCCUGAAAUUUGCAUUGCUCAGCUCAAGUUCACUGAGUGAGCUCACAAUUUUGGAUGUAUACAUGUGUGUAAUUAGUAUGUGUGACACUGUAAUUAGUAGAUUGAUUAGUUAGGGAUUAGAGAGACACUGUGGGGUGGAAGGCACAUGGGGUGAGAGGGAGAGUGGGUUCCAGUGGUGUGGUGUAGCAGCAGCUGUGCAUGGACUGACUCAUCAGACUGACCGAUCAAGAGUGAGAGAGAGAAAAAUAUUGCCACCGCAAAAGGUGACAGAUUGGAUCCACCACCCUAAUCUGAUCAUGCUCAUGGCCCCAGAUGAAUUUUGAUUAGGUUUAUUGUUUCCUUGCCAAAUUCACACUAUCAUUGAUCUGGGGUAUCCUAUGUCUAUGUGAUGCCCUCUCACCUCUUCCUCCCCUUGACUUCUAAAAGCAAAAGUAGUAGUUAUAGUAAUGUUUAAUUUGUGCGAAUGUGAGUACUUUGGACAUGUUUUGAAAAAUGUGAGCUGGACCAGCAUGUGGACCAGCUUCAAUAUAGUUAUUUGACACAAAAAUUAUAUGUUGCCUGAUUUGUAUUGAAUAAUGUUUUUCUAACAAUUGAUAUAACUUUUGUGUUUUAUUGGUGCCUAACUGAUGGUCAAAUUUGAGUCUGGAAAUGUGCGGGCGCCUUUCAUGAGAAAGGGAACGGAGAGGUGAGAAUGUUCAAUUUACUUGAACAUGAGAGUUUCGGGGAGAAAACAAACAAUAUAUGGUACUUAAUGCGCCGCAAGAUUGUCAUGAGAAAUUUGCAAGGUUGUAUCUUCUUAUUUGUCCACACCCAUCCAUCUAUAUUAUCUCUAUGUGUAUGGAUGUGUAGGUCAGAUGCUAAAAGGCUGUAAGAUUCCACCAUGGGAAAACAAUGGAGCGAAAUGGAGGAUGAAUAAACAAUGUUGGUCCAUUUUGUUCCCUUGCUAGUAGGAGUAGCUUGCAUCUGCUGGAUAGCUGGUGCCAAUCAAUCAAAGAUUAGCUUCUCCGUUCAAAGAAAAGAUUAUGUUCUGGUUGGUGCCAUUUGUCUUCAAACUGUGUGUUCAACAAUAGCUAUGAAGGUAUGCAUAUAUAAAUCGCGCGAUAAUCAUUAAUAACACGAAACAAACACAAAAUAAAACGAGAGACCGAAAUUCCAACCUAGACGAUGCUUUGUCAAGAUGGCGAUGUUUUUCCACAGAAUAAUACUAUAUAUGAGAGGUGGGUGAGGACAAUUAUUUUACAUCAACACGAAUCCCGAGGCGCAAACUUCCAAAAACAUAAAUAAAUUAGCAUAUGACAGUUUACCUGUCGCUGGCCUCCCCCCCAUUGCCCCGGUCAAAAUUGUUCCGUAGCUGGUACAAUCUUGCUGAUUACUCAAUUAACACUUGGCGUAGAGUAUUAUUGUGCACAGCUCCAUGACAAGACAAUCCACUCCAGUGGGAUCCUGUGUUGCCUGAUUUCCUUGUCUCACCUCUCAUGCUUAUGCAGUGAACGAAGGCUUCUUAGACGAAAGACGUUGAACGUCCGGCUUCAAAUUAUUAAAGCCCUAGACGGCCAAAAAAAUACACGGAUCUUGAAAAGAAUUUACAAUACAACACAUAUGAUAAGCACACAAAACAGAAAGAAUAAUAUGUACAGUUUAAGAUGACGUCACCCUCCAAGCUCGAACAUCAUAGAAGAAGGCCGAAACAACACCAAAGGUGUACCCAACUGCCUUGAGGAUGAUCCUGUCAAUGCUUGCUUCAAGACACUAUGAAGACACCAUACUCCUUCCCUAGCCAAAGAGGGUCCCUUCCUCGAUCAUCUUGGUUAGACGGAUGUCGCACCAUUAGGCAAAGGAGGCGUUCACCCUGGAACUUGGAGAGGUGCAAGUCUCCAAGCCAGCAACGCGGAACAACGCGCGUAUGGCAGAGGAUGCCGGCCCACACCCCAGGAUGUCCCUGAUGCUGAAUCCAGGAAGGAUAGUACUCCAACCGUUUCAAAACAUAUGAAAUUCUAGAAUUGUCGCAAGUCCAACAUUUUUUAGUUUGACCAAGUCUAUAGAAGAAUAUAUCAACAUCUACGACAUCAAUCAUGUAUAGUAUGAAAAUAUAUUUCAUGAUGAAUCUAAUAACAAUAGUUUGAUUUUGUAGAUAUUAGAACAUUCUUCUAUAAAUUGGUCAAACUUAAAGAUGUUUGACCUAAGACAAAACCUAGAUCUCCAUGUAUUUUGGGAUGGAGGGAGUAUUUCUUACAUAGGAUCUUGGAGAGGUAGGGGUUAGGGAUGUGGGAGGAGUGCAACUCCCACAAGCGUCACCGUUGUCGUGGUCAACCAGAAAUCUAUUUUGGCCUUGAUCUCACACCACCAAGCCCCGCGUUCGGCAGAUCUAGCGACCAAAUAUAACAAGUGGUUAGAUCUCGUGGGGGUGGGCUGGAGGAGGAGAAAGGGCACACACCUUAAGAUCCGAUGAGGCAGCCCAUAGACCACUCACCUCUCCCCCAAGGCAUUACCGCCCGCAUGGCGAAGGGGAUGGACUCUGCGCUGCUGUCUGCGACCGCGCGGCGGCAGACUGGCGAGGGCGGCGAGCAGUAGGAGGUACGUGCGUGGGGGGGGGGCAACGAGUGAAUAAUUUUUCAUCCCUCGGCUAAAUGUUCCGCCGGCAGCCCCCCAAGGGGCGAAAAAAUGCCUCCUGGGGGGCUCAACGGCUGGAGAUGCUCUAAGGUUGCCACCUCGGCGCCCAAAGACCCCUCCGUCUGAGCAGCUGAGAAGCUGAAGCCUCGCUGCCGCCCUGACCGGUGGCUGCAUGGGCAUUCCGGUGGCUGCCGCUGUCUUCACAAGGNNNNNNNNNNNNNNNNNNNNNNNNNNNNNNNNNNNNNNNNNNNNNNNNNNNNNNNNNNNNNNNNNNNNNNNNNNNNNNNNNNNNNNNNNNNNNNNNNNNNNNNNNNNNNNNNNNNNNNNNNNNNNNNNNNNNNNNNNNNNNNNNNNNNNNNNNNNNNNNNNNNNNNNNNNNNNNNNNNNNNNNNNNNNNNNNNNNNNNNNNNNNNNNNNNNNNNNNNNNNNNNNNNNNNNNNNNNNNNNNNNNNNNNNNNNNNNNNNNNNNNNNNNNNNNNNNNNNNNNNNNNNNNNNNNNNNNNNNNNNNNNNNNNNNNNNNNNNNNNNNNNNNNNNNNNNNNNNNNNNNNNNNNNNNNNNNNNNNNNNNNNNNNNNNNNNNNNNNNNNNNNNNNNNNNNCACGUCGUGCCUCGGGACGCGAGGGCUGACGCGGUUGUUUGAUCAUUGUAGUGAAUGAAACACUUCAAUGUAAUAGAUCAAGAGUCCACAAUGCUGCAGUCAAAUAUGAAUUGUGUGCAUCUUAGCGACGCAGACACCAAAAGAGAACACACAAUCACUUUGUCCAAAAAUGCUCCAAGCAAAAAAGGGUCAGAAGGUACUGAUCAGUUAAGCACCACAGUCACAGCGCAGGCAUGCGGGCACAUGCUUGCACUACACUGGUCCAUACACACUAGAUGCAGUUUAAUUAACUUGAUCUGUGGACUAACCGGCCUAAAGCUAAGUAGCUAGCUUAGGCCGAAGGAGUGUGAAUGAAUGAACGAGUGAGCUAGCUUAGUUUGGGGCGAUAGAUGCGCAUGUCUUGUGCCCGGGAUCAGCGGACAGGUCCAGGGGUCUACUCUACAACUGCACGAUUGCAACAACCAUACUUUUCUUGCAUGGCCAUGUGCGGCCACCCUGUUUUGCCGCCACAAAUCACAAGGAUGCAUAUGUAGCCUUGUCCUCAUCCUCUCAUACUAGUGAGUACUAGUACGACUGUUGACAUGUAUGUGUGUAUAUUUCGUAGGCGGCAUUGACAUGUGUGGCUGCCUGCUACCUGCUAGUAGCUCACACGCCACUCUCGUCUUCACGCAACCAUGCAUCUACCGUAUGCAUGGAACUUCCCGCAGACAUAUGUGUAGUAGUUUAAUUUAUAGUAGUAGUACAUAUAUACGCCAUGCCAUUGCAUGGUCAUAUAUAUAUAUAUAUAUAUAUAUAUAUAUAUAUAUAUGUAUGUAUGUAUGUAUGUAUGUAUAUGAAGAUGCCUAUUAUUCUUAUAUAUACGUGUAUAUAUACUUGUAUGUCAAUGGAAAUGGAGAUCAAUGAUAAAAUAAAUAUGAUGUGAUGCGUAAGAGCAUCUACAAAUAAAUAUGAUGUGAUGUGCAAGAGCAUCUACAAACGCAUAUGACAAUAUGACCCCACAAACGCCCACGGUCGCGCCCGGGCGCAACCCGUGACAGUGACCGGGCACUCCUCAAAUUAGCACAACUGCAUCCAGACAUCUCAUACUAGAUACUUAAAUCCAUACAAAAGCAUGCAAACGAUAAAACCUACGUACUACGUAAAGAUCUAGGCAUCUAGCUACUCCUCGUCGGAGAUGUCGACAAUCUCCGUUCCCGGCUCCGGCAACAUGGGCGGUAGCUGCAGCUCCUGAGCCUUCGGCUGCUCCGCUCCGGCUUCCUCCUCCUCUAUCUCUGCGUCGAGUUCGGCGAAGAGUGCGUCGGACGCAGCCUGCUCCUGCCGAAGGCACUGUUGGUUGGCCUCCACAUAUGCCUCAUCCCGGAUGGACUCCAGAAUGGCCUGCUGCUCUGCCAUCUCCGUGGCUUGGGCUACGACGAACUCCGCCUCCGCCUCUCCCAUGUUGAACCCCUGCUCCGGCAGCUCCGCCUUGUGCUCUUUCGGAUCCGCCACCUCCAUCGGCUCUCCCUCCUCCUCCUUCGGCUACUGCUCAUCCUCCUUCUCUGGCUCCAGCGAGUCCGGAGGUAGCCCGACAGCGAUGCGGGCGGAGCGCCUUGCCUGGAUCUCCUCUGUGAUCUGCCUCCGAAGCUCCGGCAUGAGCAUAGCAUACGUGGUGAUCAGCCGCUGGACCAUGGUGAUGCCGGAGAGUGUGGGAGAGCGGGGGAGAGGAGGCGUACGGGCUCGAGUGGCGGUGCAGAGAGGGAGGAGGUGGAUGGGCUAGGGUUGGGGACGCUGGCUGGCUUAAAUAACCGAAUUUGAUCUCGGGCGGCGAGCCGGAGCGGCGCCACGUGGCGUUCACACUGCGGCGACGGAGGAGGCAUCCGUCGGACCGCCGGGUUUCCGGGCGUGUUCGCGUGAGACCCCAUCGACAGUCCUACGUGGCGGACGUGCCCGGACGCCCCAUAUCCGCCCCAUAUUUGAGUUGGAUAUGAGGGGUGCCGGUCAACCCAGGCGUUUGAGGCCCGUUUAGUUCGAAAAAAUCAUGACCGGGCAGCCCGUCCAGGCAUAUGAGGCAGGUUUGGACGGCUGUAGAUACUCUAAGAUUAUAAGGGAGAAGUACCCAAGGAGCACGUAGCUAGCUGUUUUCCACCAAAUUAAAGGAAAUGGGGUAGCAUGGCAUGGGGUCGUGCUUUUCUUAGUUUGGACCAUUUGUCACUAACACGUCGCCCCCUUGCCUUUUUUGCAUUUCGGGCUCUUCCUUCUUUUGAGCAAAAAAAGCCAGAAAGUGCUGGUUUUCUUUGUGUGUGGUGAUCUGUUUUUGUUGCCCAAGAGAUCUGAUUCGGUCCAAAGCAUGCAAUCACUGUAGCCAUUGCUCAUUCUCGGUGAAGUGAGCUCCUAACUGGCAGUGCAAGCCUUGGAAGGCAUUGAUACUGAUUACUUCUCCAUUGCUUUAUUUUGAGAGAGAGAUAUGCGCUGCAUACGGUCCACCUCAAAAAAGAAAAAAAAUGUUUUUUUAGUUUAAGCACGCCCCACUUUAUUUAAUUAAUAAAGUUCAUUGGGAUACAAUGGAUAUUGGGGGCCUGAAGGAGGCAAAGAUGACGGCCCUCGGGAAUACCUAGAGCGUAUUUAGUGAGGCUAUGCGCCUCAAUAUUGGACGUUCUUCCUUCGAAGAUGAAGGAACAUGAGUGAAACUCGGCGGACAUCACCAGAAUUUCCUUAAUGAUGCUUCCGUUCUUCCUCCUGCACUUGAUUUGAUAUCAUCAAUGACUUGCUUGCAUUCUGAUGCGACGAUCGAUGAUAUCUUGGAGCCGCAGGUCCUUGGCCAGUGCAAGUGCCUCUCGGCAGGCCAUGCCUCAAGUGUAUCAGGAUCGAUCACACCUUGCUGUCUGAUGGCUGAAGCUCCAACAUAGAGGUCAACAUCAUUUCUGCAAACUGCCGAGCAAGACCCAAAGGCAUCAGUUCUAUGAAUGACACCAUCUACCUUCAACAUUGCAUAACCUGAAGGAGGAGUGGUCCAUGUAGUCCUCGACGGAACCUGGGAGGCUACACUUCUGGUAGUUGGUGGUUGCUUGCACGUCUUAAGGCCCGAGUGAAUUGCAGAAAACCACCACAUUAGCGCAUAGGUUUGUAGAAAAGACUCUUUUACGAAUUUAGGCCAGAAACCAUUAAUUUUCGGUCUAAUCUUUUGCAAAAAACACCGAUCAGUCUAUUUGGACAUUUUAAUUGCGAUUAUGACAUGUGGGGCCACCAUUUGCUGACGUGGCGUACCAUUCAUUAGACAAGGUAUUUUUUUGCCAAAAACUCCUCCCUCUCUCGAAAAAUCUCCCUCCUGAAGGAAAUAUGCCCUAGAGGCAAUAAUAAAGUUAUUAUUUAUUUCCUUAUAAUCAUGAUAAAUGUUUAUUAUUCAUGCUAGAAUUGUAUUAACCGGAAACAUAAUACAUGUGUGAAUACAUAGACAAACAAAGUGUCACUAGUAUGCCUCUACUUGACUAGCUCGUUAAUCAAAGAUGGUUAUGUUUCCUAACCAUGAACAAUGAGUUGUUAUUUGAUUAACGAGGUCACAUCAUUAGUUGAAUGAUCUGAUUGACAUGACCCAUUCCAUUAGCUUAGCACACGAUCGUUUAGUAUGUUGCUACUGCUUUCUUCAUGACUUAUACAUGUUCCUAUGACUAUGAGAUUAUGCAACUCCCGUUUGCCGGAGGAACACUUUGGGUGCUACCAAACGUCACAAGUAACUGAGUGAUUAUAAAGGAGCAUUACAGGUGUCUCCAAAGGUAGAUGUUGGGUUGGCGUAUUUCGAGAUUAGGAUUUGUCACUUCAAUUGUCGGAGAGGUAUCUCUGGGCCCUCUCGGUAAUACACAUCACAUAAGCCUUGCAAGCAUUACAACUAAUAUGUUAGUUGUGAGAUGAUGUAUUACGGAACGAGUAAAGAGACUUGCCGGUAACGAGAUUGAACUAGGUAUUGGAUACCAACGAUCGAAUCUCGGGCAAGUAACAUACCGAUGACAAAGGGAACAACGUAUGUUGUUAUGCGGUCUGACCGAUAAAGAUCUUCGUAGAAUAUGUAGGAGCCAAUAUGGGCAUCCAGGUCCCGCUAUUGGUUAUUGACCGGAGACAUGUCUCGGUCAUGUCUACAUUGUUCUCGAACCCGUAGGGUCCGCACGCUUAAGGUUACGAUGACAGUUAUAUUAUGAGUUUAUGCAUUUUGAUGUACCGAAGGUUGUUCGGAGUCCCGGAUGUGACCACGGACAUGAUGAGGAGUCUCGAAAUGGUCGAGACGUAAAGAUUGAUAUAUUGGAAGCCUAUAUUUGGAUAUCGGAAGUGUUCCGGGUGAAAUCGGGAUUUUACCGGGUUACCGGGAGGUUACCGGAACCCCCCGGGAGCCAUAUGGGCCUUCAUGGGCCUUAGUGGAAAGGUGAAAGGGCUGCCCACAAGGGCUGCGUGCCUCCCCCCUUUCCCUAGUCCUAUUAGGACUAGGAGAGGUGGCCGGCCACCCUUCUCCCUCUUUCCCACUUGGGGAGUCCUAGUUGGAAUAGGAUUGGGGGGGAGUCCUACUCCCGGAAGGAGUAGGAUUCCUCCUGCGCCCUCUCCUCCUGGCCGGCGCCCCCUCCCCCCUUGUCUCCUUUAUAUACUGAGGUAGAGGCACCCCAAAGACACACAAGUUGAUCCACGUGAUCUAUUCCUUAGCCGUGUGCGGUGCCCCCUGCCACCAUAUACCUCGAUAAUACUGUAGCGGAGUUUAGGCGAAGCCCUGCUGCUGUAGUUCAUCAAGAUCGUCACCACGCCGUCGUGCUGACGGAACUCUUCCCCGAAACUUUGCUGGAUCGGAGUCCGGGGAUCGUCAUCGAGCUGAAUGUGUGCUUGAACUCGGAGGUGCCGUAGUUUCGGUGCUUGAUCGGUUGGAUCGUGAAGACGUACGACUACUUCCACUACGUUGUGUGAUCGCUUCCGCAGUCGGUCUGCGUUGGGUACGUAGACAACACUCUCCCCCUCGUUGCUAUGCAUCACAUGAUCUUGCGUGUGCGUAGGAAAUUUUUUGAAAUUACUACGAAACCCAACAGUGGCAUCCGAGCCAGGUUAUUUAUGUUGAUGUUAUAUGCACGAGUAGAACACAAGUGAGUUGUGGACGAUACAAGUCAUACUGCCUACCAGCAUGUCAUACUUUGGUUCGGCGGUAUUGUUGGACGAGACGACCCGGACCAACAUUACGCGUACGCUUACGCGAGACCGGUUCUCCCGACGUGCUUUGCACACAGGUGGCUUGCGGGCGACUGUCUCUCCAACUUUAGUUGAACCAAGUAUGGCUACGCCCGGUCCUUGCGAAGGUUAAAACGGAGUCUAUUUGACAAAGUAUCGUUGUGGUUUUGAUGCGUAGGUGAGAUUGGUUCUUACUUAAGCCCGUAGCAGCCACGUAAAACAUGCAACAACAAAGUAGAGGACGUCUAACUUGUUUUUGCAGGGCAUGUUGUGAUGUGAUAUGGUCAAGGCAUGAUGCUGAAUUUUAUUGUAUGAUAUGAUCAUGUUUUGUAACCGAGUUAUCGGCAACUGGCAGGAGCCAUAUGGUUGUCGCUUUAUUGUAUGCAAUGCAAUCGCGAUGUAAUAUUACUAAACGGUAGUGAUAGUCGUGGAAGCAUAAGAUUGGCGAGACGACAACGAUGCUACGAUGGAGAUCAAGGUGUCGCGCCGGUGACGAUGGUGAUCAUGACGGUGCUUCGGAGAUGGAGAUUACAAGCACAAGAUGAUGAUGGCCAUAUCAUAUCACUUAUAUUGAUUGCAUGUGAUGUUUAUCUUUUUAUGCAUCUUAUCUUGCUUUGAUUGACGGUAGCAUUAUAAGAUGAUCUCUCACUAAAUUAUCAAGAAGUAUUCUCCCUGAGUAUGCACCGUUGCCAAAGUUCGUCGUGCCCAGACACCACGUGAUGAUCGGGUGUGAUAAGCUCUACGUUCAAAUUCAACGGGUGCAAAACAGUUGCACACGCGGAAUACUCAGGUUAUACUUGACGAGCCAAGCAUAUACAGAUAUGGCCUCGGGAACACGGAGAUCGAAAGGUCGAGCGUGAAUCAUAUAGUAGAUAUGAUCAACAUAAUGAUGUUCACCGAUGAAACUACUCCAUCUCACGUGAUGAUCGGACAUGGUUUAGUUGAUUUGGAUCACGUGAUCACUUAGAGGAUUAGAGGGAUGUCUAUCUAAGUGGGAGUUCUUAAAGUAAUAUGAUUAAUUGAACUUAAAUUUAUCAUGAACUUAGUCCUAGUAGUAUUUUGCAAAUUAUGUUGUAGAGCAAUAGCUCGCGUUAUUGCUUUCAUAUGUUUAUUUUGAUAUGUUCCUAGAGAAAAAAUGUGUUGAAAGAUGUUAGUAGCAAUGAUGCGGAUUGGAUCCGUGAUCUGAGGUUUAUCCUCAUUGCUGCACAGAAAAAUUAUGUCCUUGAUGCACCGCUAGGUGACGGGCCUAUUACAGGAGCAGAUGCAGACGUUAUGAACGUUUGGCUAGCUCAAUAUGAUGACUACUUGAUAGUUUAGUGCACCAUGCUUAACAGCUUAGAAUCGGGACUUCAAAGACGUUUUGAACGUCAUGGACCAUAUGAGAUGUUCCAGGAGUUGAAGUUAAUAUUUCAAGCAAAUACCCGAGUUGAGAGAUAUGAAGUCUCCAACAAGUUCUAUAGCUAAAAGAUGGAGGAGAAUCGCUCAACUAGUGAGCAUGUGCUCAGAUUGUCUGGGUACUACAAUCGCUUGAAUCAAGUGGGAGUUAAUCUUCCAGAUAAGAUAGUGAUUGACAGAAUUCUCUAGUCACCAUCACCAAGUUAGUAGAACUUCGUGAUGAACUAUAGUAUGCAAGGGAUGACGAAAACGAAUCCCGAGCUUUUCAUGAUGAUGAAAUCGAUGAAGGUAGAAAUCAAGAAAGAGCAUCAAGUAUUGACAAGAUCACUAGUUUCAAUAAAAGGGCAAAGGGAAGAAGGGGAACUUCAAGAAGAACGCCAAGCAAGUUGCUGCUCAAGUGAAGAAGCCCAAGUCUGGUCCUAAGCCUGAGACUAAGUGCUUCUACUGCAAAGGGACUGAUCACUGGAAGCGGAACUGCCCCAAGUAUUUGGCGGAUAAGAAGGAUGGCAAAGUGAACAAAAGUAUAUUUGAUAUACAUAUUAUUGAUGUGUACUUUACUAGUGUUUAUAGCAACCCCUCAGUAUUUGAUACUGGAUCAGUUGCUAAGAUUAGUAACUCGAAACGGGAGUUGCAGAAUAAACAGAGACUGGUUAAGGGUGAAGUGACGAUGUGUGUUGGAAGUGGUUCCAAGAUUGAUAUGAUCAUCAUCGAACACUCCCCUAUACUUUUGGGAUUAGUGUUGAACCUAAAUAAGUGUUAUUUGGUUUUUGCGUUAAGCAUGAAUAUGAUUUGAUCAUGUUUAUUGCAAUACGGUUAUUCAUUAAAGUCAGAGAAUAAUUGUUGUUCUGUUUAAAUGAAUAAAACCUUAUAUGGUUACACACCCAAUGAAAAUAGUUCAUUGGAUCUCGAUCUUAAUGAUACACAUAUUCAUAAUAUUGAAACCAAAAAGAUGCGAAGUUAAUAAUGAUAGUGCAACUUAUUUGUGGCACUGCCGUUUAGGUCAUAUUGGUGUAAAGCGCAUGAAGAAACUCCAUGCUGAUGGGAUUUUGGAAUCACUUGAUUAUGAAUCACUUGAUGCUUGCGAACCAUGCCUCAUGGGCAAGAUGACUAAGACUCCGUUCUCCGGAGCGAGCAACUGACUUAUUGGAAAUAAUACAUACUGAUGUAUGCGGUCCGAUGAGUGUUAAGGCUCACGGCAAGUAUCGUUAUUUUCUGAACUUCACAGAUGAUUUGAGCAGAUAUGAGUAUAUCUACUUGAUGAAACAUAAGUUUGAAACACUUGAAAAGUUCAAAGAAUUUCAGAGUGAAGUGGAAAAUCAUCGUGACAAGAAAAUAAAGUUUCUACGAUCUGAUCGCAGAGACAAAUAUUUGAGUUACGAGUUUGGUCUUCAAUUAAAACAAUGUGGAAUAGUUUCACAAACUCAUGCCACAUGGAACACCACAACAUAAUGGUGUGACCAAACGUCAUAACCGUACUUUAUUGGAUAUAGUGCAAUCUAUGAUGUCUCUUACCGAUCUACCACUAUCGUUUUGGGGUUAUGCAUUAGAGACAGCUGCAUUCACGUUAAAUAGGGCACCAUCUAAAUCCGUUGAGACGACACCGUAUGAACUAUGGUUUGGCAAGAAACCUAAGCUGUCGUUUCUUGAAGUUUGGGGUUGCGAUGCUUAUGUGAAAAAGUUUCAUCCUGAUAAGCUCAAACUCAAAUCGAAGAAGUGCGUCUUCAUAGGAUAUCCAAAGGAAACUAUUGGAUACACCUUCUAUCACAGAUCCGAAGGCAAGACAUUCGUUGCUAAGAAUGGAUCCUUUCUAGAGAAGGAGUUUCUCUCGAAAGAAGUGAGUGGGAGGAAAGUAGAACUAGACGAGGUAAUUGUACCUGCUCCCUUACUGGAAAGUAGUUCAUCACAGAAAACUGUUUCAGUGACACCUACACCAGUUAGUGAGGAAGUUAAUGAUAAUGAUCAUGAAACUUCAGAUCAAGAUACUACUGAACCUCGUAGAUCAACCAGAGUAAGAUCCGCGCCAGAGUGGUACGGUAAUCUUGUUCUGGAAGUCAUGCUACUAGAUCAUGAUGAACCUACGAACUAUGAAGAAGCGAUGGUGAGCCCAGAUUCCGCAAAGUGGCUUGAAGCCAUGAAAUCUGAGAUGGGAUCCAUGUAUGAGAACAAAGUAUGGACUUUGGUUGACUUGCCCGAUGAUCGGCAAGCAAUUGAGAAUAAAUGGAUCUUUAAGAAGAAGACUGACGCUGAUGGUAAUGUUACUGUCUACAAAGCUAGAAUUGUCGCAAAAGGUUUUUGACAAGUUCAAGGUGUUGAAUACGAUGAGAGUUUCUCACUCGUAUCUAUGCUUAAGUCUGUCCGAAUCAUGUUAGCAAUUGCCGCAUUUUAUGAAAUCUGGCAAAUGGAUAAACAAAACUGCAUUCCUUAAUAGAUUUAUUAAAGAAGAGUUGUAUAUGAUACAACCAGAAGGUUUUGUCAAUCCUAAAGGUGCUAACAAAAUAUGCAAGCUCCAGCGAUCCAUCUAUGGACUGGUGCAAGCAUCUCGGAGUUGGAAUAUACGCUUUGAUAAGUUGAUCAAAGCAUAUAGUUUUAUACAGACUUGCGAUGAAGUCUGUAUUUACAAGAAAGUGAGUGGGAGCACUACAAUAUUUCUGAUAAGUAUAUGUGAAUGACAUAUUAUUGAUCGGAAAUAAUGUAGAAUUAUUCUGUAAAGCAUAAAGGAGUGUUUGAAAGGAGUUUUUCAAAGAAAGACUUCGGUGAAGCUGCUUACAUAUUGAGCUUCAAGAUCUAUAGAGAUAGAUCAAGACGCUUGAUAAGUUUUUCAAUGAGUACAUACCUUGACAAGAUUUUGAAGUAGUUCAAAAUGGAACAGUCAAAGAAAAGUUUCUUGCCUGUAUAACAAGGUGUGAAGUUGAGUAAGACUCAAAGCCCGACCACGGCAGAAGAUAGAAAAAGAAUGAAAGUCAUUCCCUAUGCCUUGGCCAUAGGUUCUAUAAAGUAUGUCAUGCUGUGUACCAGAUCUAUUGUAUACCCUGCACUGAUUUGGCAAGGGAGUACAAUAAUGAUCUAGGAGUAGAUCACUGGACAGCGGUCAAAAUUAUCCUUAGUGGAAUAAGGAUAUGUUUCUCGAUUAUGGAGGUGAAAAAAAGGGUUCGCCGUAAAGGGUUACGUCGAUACAAGUUUUGACACAGAUCUGGAUGACUCUAAGUCUUGAUCUCGAUACAUAUUGAAAGUGGGAGCAAUUAGCUAGAGUAGCUCCGUGCAGAGCAUUGUUGACAUAAAUAUUUGCAAAAUACUUACGGAUCUGAAUGUGACAGACCCGUUGACUAAGAUUCUCUCACAAGCAAAACAUGAUCACACCUUAGUACUCCUUGGGUGUUAAUCACAUAGCGAUGUGAACUAGAUUACUGAAUCUAGUAAACCCUUUGGGUGUUGAUCACAUAUCGAUGUGAAGUAUGGGUGUUAAUCACAUGGUGAUGUGAACUAUUGCUGUUAAAUCACAUGGCGAUGUGAACUAGAUUAUUGACUCUAGUGCAAGUGGGAGACUGAAGGAAAUAUGCCCUAGAGGCAAUAAUAAAGUUAUUAUUUAUUUCCUUAUAAUCAUGAUAAAUGUUUAUUAUUCAUGCUAGAAUUGUAUUAACCGGAAACAUAAUACAUGUGUGAAUACAUAGACAAACAAAGUGUCACUAGUAUGCCUCUACUUGACUAGCUCGUUAAUCAAAGAUGGUUAUGUUUCCUAACCAUGAACAAUGAGUUGUUAUUUGAUUAACGAGGUCACAUCAUUAGUUGAAUGAUCUGAUUGACAUGACCCAUUCCAUUAGCUUAGCACACGAUCGUUUAGUAUGUUGCUACUGCUUUCUUCAUGACUUAUACAUGUUCCUAUGACUAUGAGAUUAUGCAACUCCCGUUUGCCGGAGGAACACUUUGGGUGCUACCAAAUGUCACAACGUAACUGAGUGAUUAUAAAGGAGCAUUACAGGUGUCUCCAAAGGUAGAUGUUGGGUUGGCGUAUUUCGAGAUUAGGAUUUGUCACUCCAAUUGUCGGAGAGGUAUCUCUGGGCCCUCUCGGUAAUACACAUCACAUAAGCCUUGCAAGCAUUACAACUAAUAUGUUAGUUGUGAGAUGAUGUAUUACGGAACGAGUAAAGAGACUUGCCGGUAACGAGAUUGAACUAGGUAUUGGAUACCGACGAUCGAAUCUCGGGCAAGUAACAUACCGAUGACAAAGGGAACAACGUAUGUUGUUAUGCGGUCUGACCGAUAAAGAUCUUCGUAGAAUAUGUAGGAGCCAAUAUGGGCAUCCAGGUCCCGCUAUUGGUUAUUGACCGGAGACAUGUCUCGGUCAUGUCUACAUUGUUCUCGAACCCGUAGGGUCCGCACGCUUAAGGUUACGAUGACAGUUAUAUUAUGAGUUUAUGCAUUUUGAUGUACCGAAGGUUGUUCGGAGUCCCGGAUGUGAUCACGGACAUGACGAGGAGUCUCGAAAUGGUCGAGACGUAAAGAUUGAUAUAUUGGAAGCCUAUAUUUGGAUAUCGGAAGUGUUCCGGGUGAAAUCGGGAUUUUACCGGGUUACCGGGAGGUUACCGGAACCCCCCGGGAGCCAUAUGGGCCUUCAUGGGCCUUAGUGGAAAGGUGAAAGGGCUGCCCACAAGGGCUGCGCGCCUCCCCCCUUUCCCUAGUCCUAUUAGGACUAGGAGAGGUGGCCAGCCACCCUUCUCCCUCUUUCCCACUUGGGGAGUCCUAGUUGGAAUAGGAUUGGGGGGAGUCCUACUCCCGGAAGGAGUAGGACUUCUCCUGCGCCCUCUCCUCCUGGCCGGCGCCCCCUCCCCCCUUGGCUCCUUUAUAUACUGAGGUAGAGGCACCCCAAAGACACACAAGUUGAUCCACGUGAUCUAUUCCUUAGCCAUGUGCGGUGCCCCCUGCCACCAUAUACCUCGAUAAUAUUGUAGCGGAGUUUAGGCGAAGCCCUGCUGCUGUAGUUCAUCAAGAUCGUCACCACGCCGUUGUGCUGACGGAACUCUUCCCCGACACUUUGCUGGAUCGGAGUCCGGGGAUCGUCAUCGAGCUGAACGUGUGCUCGAACUCGGAGGUGCCAUAGUUUCGGUGCUUGAUCGGUUGGAUCGUGAAGACGUACGACUACUUCCACUACGUUGUGUGAUCGCUUCCGCAGUCGGUCUGCGUUGGGUACGUAGACAACACUCUCCCCCUUGUUGCUAUGCAUCACAUGAUCUUGCGUGUGCGUAGGAAUUUUUUUGAAAUUACUACGAAACCCAACACCUCCCUCCCGAGAUCCAGGGCGUGCUCGUCCUCGCCGUCGUGGUCCACGGGAUCCAGGACACCGGGGAAAGCAGCGGCGCAGCACGGCCCCUCGUCGCUGGCGACCCCAAGCCAGCAGCGCACCCGCGCGUACGACCCAUCCGCUGCAUCCUCCUCUGGCGGCCGUCCUACCACCGCCCGAUGAGGACGCGGCAUCACCGGCCGACGGUGACACGCCGCCCUCUUCCCCCUCUGGGCGCUGUGGCCAUGGCUGACGACGACGGAAACCACGGGAUUGGCGGCGGCUGUGGUGCAGCAGCCGCUGGAGUCGUCGUCGGAACUGGCGGGGUUGUACUACCCGCAGGCGUCUAGGGGACAGGAGUGGACCACGAGGGUUGACCCGUGCACGGCCUGGGCGCAGGGUCGCGAGCACCGCUGCCUCCUCGACAGACCCGUGCAUGGCCUGGCGGUGACCGGCGACCCUGUGUUCGCAUUCCAGGUGGGUGACCGCGGGUGACCCCGACAGAUCCAGGUGGGUGCUCGGGAUGGCCGAGGAACUCCAGGCCACGGAGGUUCAUCGCGCGGGGGAGGCCGGUCCAAAGGGGCAGGCGGAUGCGUUCUUCCACCGGCGAGCUCGGGCUGCCACAAGGACGGCGGCGACGGACGGCUCUGCGGCGGGCCAUGCUCGAGGUCUGAGCAACUAGCCAACGACGGCGAGCAAGCAGCAGGAGCGGCGCACAGCACGGGCGCAUCCAAGCAGGAACCCUCGCCGGUGAGCUCCGCCGCCCCCGGGGCACCGGCGUGGACAAGAGCGCACGAGCGCGGGAUGGCCGGCGGCAGAGUAUGUCUGAGCUGGGUAUGACAAGGGCCUAAUUGCAUUUUUGUUUUCAGAUUGAAGGGUGCCUCUGUAAAAAUACCAGGAACUGACAGUUAUGAUACAUCAUCAAAUAUAGGCCCCACAUGUCAUAAUCACGGUUAAAAUGUCCAAAUAGACCUAUCAGUGUUUUUUGCAAAAGAUUAGGCCAAAAAUCAGUGGUUUCUGGCCCAAAUUCGUAAAAGAGUCUUUUCUGCAAACCUAUGCGCUAAUGUGGUGGUUUUCUAUAAUUCACUCUAAGGCCCCGUACAUAACUAUUUGCUUGCACUUCUUAUGGCUCCGUAGAAAAUUAUUUACAAAUUAGUGAGUAGCUUGCGGGUUCCGGAAGUCAUUUUCGUUUUUUAGGGCAAAACUAAGCUUUAUUGAUGAUAAUCCACAUGGAGUGGGAUACAAAUCGGAUUGUAGGGGUUAACCAACAAGUGUGGCGCCCCGCACCGACAGAAAGUGCAUGCUUAGCUAAACUAUGGGCUUCGCCUUUCAAAGAGCGGCUUUCAAACACAAAAUUACAAGUGAAAUCCGAAGAACAAAGUUUAAUUUCUGUGAUCACAGAACCAUAAGUGCCCUGGUUGCCAAGAUUGAUGUCGUCAACAACCCGCUUGCAAUCUGAAGCGAUGAUUAAAUUCAUGACGAGAAGAUCCUCCGCCAGAGCAAGGCCUUCACAACACGCUAUUGCUUCCAACGUGGGCGGAUCCGUUAUCCCUAGAACGAUAAGUGCCGAACUUCUCAUAUAGUUACCCGCCUGAUCACGGCAGACAGCCACCGUGACACCUCGCCGGUUGCGUAGAACAGCGCCAUCUACAUGGAUCUUGACGUAUCCCACCGGUGGCGCUUUGGGUCUUGCAUGUGCUGUCACAUUUGCCCGAGGGGCAACUGAUACGUCUCCAUCGUAUCUAUAAUUUUUGAUUGUUCCAUGCCAAUAUUAUUCAAUUUUCAUAUACUUUUUGGCAACUUUUUAUAUUAUUUUUGGGACUAACAUAUUCAUCCAGUGCCAGUUCCUGUCUGUUGCAUGUUUUUGGUUUCGUAGAAUAUCCAUAUCAAACGGAGUCCAAAUGGGAUAAAAACAGACGGAGCUUAUUUUUGGAAAAUAUGGAAAAUUCGAAAGGAAAAUCAACGCGAACCAGUGCCCGAGGUGGUCACGAGGCAGGGGGCACCCCCCUAGGGCGCGGCCCCUACCCUCGUGAGCCCACCGUAAGGCGGUUGACGCUCUUCUUUUGCCACAAGAAAGCUAAUAUUCGGAAAAAAAUCACGGCGAAGGUUUCAGGCAAUCGCAGUUACGGAUCUCCAUAUAUACACGAAACGGUGAAAUAGAGCCGGAACAGAACGCAGAACCAGAGAGAGACAGAGAGACAGAUCCAAUCUCGGAGGGUCUCUCGCCCCUCCCACGCCAUGAAGGCCAUGGACCAGAGUGGAAACCCUUCUCCCAUCUAGCGAGGAGGUCAAGAAAGAAGAAGAAGGAGGGGGGCUCUCUCCCCCUCGCUUCCGGUGGCACCGGAGUGCCACCGGGGGCCAUCAUCGUCACCACGAUCUACACCAACACCUCCGCCAUCUUCACCAACAUCUCCAUCACCUUCCCCCCUCUAUCUACAGCGGUCCACUCUCCCGCAACCCGCUGUACCCUCUACUUGAACAUGGUGCUUUAUACUUCAUAUUAUUAUCCAAUGAUGUGUUGCCAUCCUAUGAUGUCUGAGUAGAUUUUCGUUGUCCUAUCGGUGGUUGAUGAAUUGCUAUGAUUGAUUUAACUUGCUUGUGGUUAUGUUGCUGUCCUUUGGUGCCCAUCAUAUGAUUGCGCGCGUGGAUCACACCCUAGGGUUAGUUGUACAUUGAUAGGACUAUGUAUUGGAGGGCAAGAGUGACGGAAGCUUCAACCUAGCAUAGAAAUUGAUGCAUACGGUGAAGGAAAUAUGCCCUAGAGGCAAUAAUAAAGUUAUUAUUUAUUUCCUUAUAUCAUGAUAAAUGUUUAUUAUUCAUGCUAGAAUUGUAUUAACCGGAAACAUAAUACAUGUGUGAAUACAUAGACAAACAGUAUGUCACUAGUAUGCCUCUACUUGACUAGCUCGUUGAAUCAAAGAUGGUUAAGUUUCCUAGCCAUAGACAUGAGUUGUCAUUUGAUUAAACAGGGUCACAUCAUUAGAGAAUGAUGUGAUUGACUUGACCCAUUCCGUUAGCAUAACACUUGAUCGUUUAGUUUGUUGCUAUUGCUUUCUUCAUGACUUAUACAUGUUCCUAUGACUAUGAGAUUAUGCAACUCCCGUUUAUCGGAGGAACACUUUGUGUGCUACCAAACGUCACAACAUAACUGGGUGAUUAUAAAGGUGCUCUACAGGUGUCUCCGAAGGUACUUGUUGGGUUGGCGUAUUUCGAGAUUAGGAUUUGUCACUCCGAUUGUUGGAGAGGUAUCUCUGGGCCCACUCGGUAAUGCACACCACUAUAAGCCUUGCAAGCAUUGCAACUAAUGAGUUAGUUGCGGGAUGAUGUGUUACGGAACGAGUAAAGAUACUUGCCGGUAACGAGAUUGAACUAGGUAUUGAGAUACCGACGAUCGAAUCUCGGGCAAGAACAUAUCGAUGACAAAGGGAACAACGUAUGUUGUUAUGCGGUUUGACUGAUAAAGAUCUUCGUAGAAUAUGUAGGAGGCAAUAUGAGCAUCCAGGUUCCGCUAUUGGUUAUUGACCGUAGACGUGUCUCGGUCAUGUCUACAUAGUUCUCGAACCCAUAGGGUCCGCACGCUUAAAGUUCGAUGACGGUUAUAUUAUGAGUUUAUGUGUUUUGAUGUACCGAAGGAGUUCGGAGUCCCGAAUGAGAUCGGGGACAUGAAGAGGAAUCUCGAAAUGGUCGAGACGUAAAAAUCGAUAUAUUGGACGACUAUAUUCAGACAUCGGAUAGGUUCCGAGUGAUUCGGGUAUUUUCAGGAGUACCGGGGAGUUACGGGAAUUCAUAUUGGGCCUUAAUGGGCCAUACGGGAAAGGAGAGAAAGGCCUCAAAGGGUGGCCGCACCCAUCCCCAUGGGCUGGUCCGAAUUGGACUAGGGAGGGGGGCGCCCCCUUCCUUCCUUCCCUCCUACUCCUAAUACUUGGUAGGACUCCCCUAGGGCGCACCAUAGAGAGGGCCGGCCCUUCCCCUCCUCCACUCCUUUAUAUACGGGGGCAGAGGGCACCCCAAAGACACAACAAUCGAUCUCUUGAUCUCUUAGCCGUGUGCGGUGCCCCUCUCCACCAUAAUCCACCUCGGUCAUAUCGUAGCAUUGCUUAGGCGAAGCCCUGCUUCAGUAGAAUAUCAUCAUCGUCACCACGCCGUCAUGCUGACAAAACUCUCCCUCAACACUCGACUAGAUCGGAGUUCGAGGGACGUCAUCGAGUUGAACGCGUGCAGAACUCGGAGGUGCCGUGCGUUCGGUACUUGAUCGGUCGGAUCGUGAAGACGCACGACUACAUCAACCGCGUUGUGCUAACACUUCCGCUUUCGGUCUACGAGGGUACGUAGACAACACUCUCCCUUCUCGUUGCUAUGCAUCACCAUGAUCUUGCGUGUGCGUAGGAAAUUUUUGAAAUUACUACGUUCCCCAACAUACGGGAUUGAAGAGGGACCAAUAUAUCUUAAUGCUAUGGUUGGGUUUUACCUUAAUGAACAUUAGUAGUUGCGGAUGCUUGCUAAUAGUUCCAAUCAUAAGUGCAUAGAAUUCCAAGUCAGGGAUGACAUGCUUGUUGGGGAACGUAGUAAUUUCAAAAUUUUCCUACGCACACGCAAGAUCAUGUGAUGCAUAGCAACGAGAUGGGAGAGUGUUGUCUACGUACCCAACGCAGACCGACUGCGGAAGCGAUCACACAACGUAGAGGAAGUAGUCGUACGUCUUCACGAUCCAACCGAUCAAGCACCGAAACUAUGGCACCUCCGAGUUCGAGCACACGUUCAGCUCGAUGACGAUCCCCAGACUCCGAUACAGCAAAGUGUCGGGGAAGAGUUCCGUCAGCACGGCGGCGUGGUGACGAUCUUGAUGUACUACUGCAGCAGGGCUUCGCCUAAUCUCCGCUACAGUAUUAUUGAGGUAUAUGGUGGCAGGGGGCACCGCACACGGCUAAGGAAUAGAUCACGUGGAUCAACUUGUGUGUCUAGAGGUGUCCCCUGCCUCUGUAUAUAAAGGAGCCAAGGGGGAGGGCUGGCCGGCCAAGGAGGGGGGGCGCAGGAGAGUCCUACUCCCUCUGGGAGUAGGAUUCCCCCCCCCCCCCCAAUCCUAGUCCAACUAGGAUUCCUCGGUGGGGAAAAGAGGAGGAGGGGGCCGGCCACCUCUCCUAGUCCUAAUAGGACUAGGGGAAGGGGGAGGCACGCAGCCCAUCUAGGGCAGCCCCUUCUCUUUUCCACGAAGGCCCACUAUGGCCCAUAUAGCUCCCGAGGGGUUCCGGUAACCCUCCCGGUACUCCGGUAAAAUCCCGAUUUCACCCGGAACACUUCCGAUGUCCAAACAUAGGCUUCCAAUAUAUCAAUCUUUACGUCUCGACCAUUUCGAGACUCCUCGUCAUGUCCGUGAUCACAUCCGGGACUCCGAAAAACCUUCGGUACAUCAAAAUGUAUAAACUCAUAAUAUAACUGUCAUCGUAACCUUAAGCGUGCGGACCCUACGGGUUCGAGAACAAUGUAGACAUGACCGAGACACGUCUCCGGUCAAUAACCAAUAGCGGGACCUGGAUGCCCAUAUUGGCUCCUACAUAUUCUACGAAGAUCUUUAUCGGUCAGACCGCAUAACAACAUACGUUGUUCCCUUUGUCAUCGGUAUGUUACUUGCCUGAGAUUCGAUCGUCGGUAUCCAAUACCUAGUUCAAUCUCGUUACCGGCAAGUCUCUUUACUCGUUCCGUAAUACAUCAUCUCACAACUAACAUAUUAGUUGUAAUGCUUGCAAGGCUUAUGUGAUGUGUAUUACCGAGAGGUCCCAGAGAUACCUCUCCGACAAUCGGAGUGACAAAUCCUAAUCUCGAAAUACGCCAACCCAACAUCUACCUUUGGAGACACCUGUAAUGCUCCUUUAUAAUCACCCAGUUACGUUGUGACGUUUCGUAGCACCCAAAGUGUUCCUCCGGCAAACGGGAGUUGCAUAAUCUCAUAGUCAUAGGAACAUGUAUAAGUCAUGAAGAAAAGCAAUAGCAACAUACUAAACGAUCGGGUGCUAAGCUAAUGGAUUGGGUCAUGUCAAUCAGAUCAUUCAACUAAUGAUGUGACCUCGUUAAUCAAAUAACAACUCAUUGUUCAUGGUUAGGAAACAUAACCAUCUUUGAUUAACGAGCUAGUCAAGUAGAGGCAUACUAGUGACACUUUGUUUGUCUAUGUAUUCACACAUGUAUUAUGUUUCCGGUUAAUACAAUUCUAGCAUGAAUAAUAAAUAUUUAUCAUGAUUAUAAGGAAAUAAAUAAUAACUUUAUUAUUGCCUCUAGGGCAUAUUUCCUUCAAUGCUAGCAGUGGCCUCUCCCACAUAAUACUUGCUAUCAGUCUAGUAAAGUAGUCAAUUGCUUAAGGGGCAAUUUCGCAACUCCUACCACCAAUUUUCCACACUCGCUAUAUUUAUUUUAUUGUUUCUUUACCUAAAUAGCCCCUACUUUUUAUUUACGUACUCUUUAUUAUCUUGCAAACCUAUCCAACAACACCUACAAAGUACUUCUAGUUUCAUACUUGUUCUUGGUAAAGUGAACGUCAAGCGUGCGUAGAGUUGUAUCGGUGGUUGAUAAAACUUGAGGGAAUAUUUGUUCUACCUUUAGCUCCUCAUUGGGUUCGACACUCUUACUUAUCGAAAACUGUUGCGAUCCCCUAUACUUGUGGGUUAUCAAGACCUUUUUCUGGCGCCGUUGCUGGGGAGCAAUAGCGUGGGGUGAAUAUUCUCGUGUGUGCUUGUUUGCUUUAUCACUAAGUAAUUUUUAUUUGCUGUUCUUAGUUGUUUUCUACCUUUAGUUAUGGGUAGGAAACGUAAAAUACCUAAAAAAUUAGCUGUACCUACUGAACCAAUGGUUGAAGAACCACUCAAAAUCUAUCACACUGUUGAAGCUUUUUACUUGGAUCAUCUUCGAUCCCUUUGUGCUCGUGCCGAAACCCCAACUAGCUUAGUUGAGGGCAAAUCUUUAGAUGAGCAUGCUUGUUAUGUGCGACACCGUAUAUCUAAAAAAGGGAAACUAUUAUGGGGUCAAAUUCAACGUUUGCAAUGCUAUGCUUGGAAUUUAUGUGAAAUAUAUGAUUUUACUUGUUGUUCUGAAAACCCUAAGAAACACCUUCCCUAUCAAUGUGAGUUUAGUAAUAAUGGAAUCGUAUCUUUGUAUGCUAAGGGUGUUUACAAUUACUAUGAUGUUCAACAAAUUGAAGAAUUUGUUGCUUUUAAGGGUGCUUAUGAAAUUGCUUCUUUGAUUGAAAAGUAUGAUGCUACUUUUCACAAAUCUGAAUUUUUUUCCAUACUUGAAUAUUGUUAUGAGAAUUAUGCUUCUAAUGCCUAUGUUAAACUAUAUAUUGAGGAAUACUCCGCUGACCAAGGAGAGACUAAUAUUUUGCUGGAGUCUAUGGAAGAAGAAAUUGAUGAAACUGUGAGCUCAUUGGAUGAAAAAGAUGAGGAGGAGAGCGAGCAACAAAAGGAUGAAGAUCGGAUUGAUCACCCGUGCCCACCUUCUAAUGAGAGUAACUCUUCAACUCAUACAUUGUUUAAUUCCCCUUCGUGCUUACCGAAGGAUGAUUGCUAUGAUGACUUUUAUGAUCCCAUUGAUUCUCUUGAAAUAUCCCUUUUUGAUGAUGCUUGCUAUGCUUAUGGCCAAGAUGCCAAUAUGAAUUAUGCUUAUGGAGAUGAACUUGCUAUAGUUCCUUAUGUUAAAUAUGAAAUUGUUGCUAUUGCACCCACGCAUGAUAGUCCUAUUAUCUUUUUGAAUUCUCCCGAUUAUACUAUAUCGGAGAAGUUUGCACUUAUUAAGGAUUAUAUUGAUGGGUUGCCUUUUACCGUUGCACAUGAUGAUUUCGAUAAAUAUAAUAUGCAUGUGCUUGCUGCUCCUACUUGCAAUUAUUAUGAGAGAGGAACUAUAUCUCCACCUCUCUAUGUUUCCAACAUGAUAAAAUAGCAAGAAACUGUUUAUACUAUGCAUUGGCCUUUACUUUGUGUGCAUGAAUUGUUCUUUUAUGACAUGCCGAUGCAUAGGAAGAGAAUUAGACUUCGUCAUUACAUGAUACAUGUUACUUUAUGCUCACUACUAAAUAACAAAUCAUUGUUAAUUAAAAUUGGCUUUGAUAUACCUUGGGAUCCGGGUGGAUUCACUACUUGAGCACUAUAUGCCUAGCUUAAUGGCUUUAAAGAAAGCGCUGCCAGGGAGACAACCCGGAAGUUUCAGAGAGUCAUUUAUUUCUGUUGAGUGCUUUCAUAUAGUUUAAAAACAACAAAAAGAAAGAGGGGAACCCAAAACUUUUUCAAAAAGGAAAGCGAAAGUGAGAAAGACAAGCAUUGUUGAAGUGGGAGAGCUCCUUGAAGUUUGUUCAUGCUCACGGCAACUUUGUGAAUCUUGAUUACAGAAACUUUUAAAUAAAAAUAAUUAUCCCCUUGUACAAUUCCAUUGUAUUAUAAAAAUAAUGUGCCAAGGUUUGCCUUUAGGAUGUUUACAUUUGCUUGAUGGUUUGUACGGUGCAGGACAGAAACUUUGGCUGUAGUGCGCGAUUUUACAUUUUUAGCUGAAACGUCAAAUGGUUCUGAUUCUUUUUGCACUGUCUUCCUAUUCAAAUUGUUUAUUUUUCUUAAUUUUGGUAGAAUUUUUCAGGUAUGAAAAUUAUGGUGAAUGUUCAAAUUAUUACAGACUGUUCUGUUUUAGACAGAUUCUGUUUUUGAUGCAUAGUUUGCUUGUUUUGAUGAAACUAUCGAUUCAUAUUAGUGGAUUAAGCCAUGAAAAAGUUAUACUACAGUAGAAACAAUGAAAAAACAAAAUAUUAAUUGGUUUGCAAUAGUACUUAUAGUGGUGAUUUGCUUUAUUAUACUAACGGAUCUUACCGAGUUUUCUGUUGAAGUUUUGUGUGGAUGAAGUGUUCGAUGAUCGAGAAGGUCUCGAUGUGAGAAGAAGGAAGAGAGGCAAGAGCUCAAUCUUGGGGAUGCCCAAGGCACCCCAAGUAAAUAUUCAAGGAGACUCAAGCGUCUAAGUUUGGGGAUGCUGGGGAGGCAUCCCCUCUUUCUUCAACAAGUAUCGGUAUGUUUUCUAAUUCGUUUCGUUCAUGCGAUAUGUGCAAUCUUGGAGCGUCUUUGCUUUAGUUUUCAUGUUUCUUUUUUGCACCAUGCUGGUAUGAGAUAGUCCUUGGUUGAUUUAUAGAAUGCUCUUUGCACUUCACUUAUAUUCUUUGAGUAUGGCUUUAUAGAAUGCUUCAUGUGCUUCACUUAUAUCAUUUGAAGUUUGGAUUGCCUGUUUCUCUUCACUUAGACAACCGUCAUUUGUAGAAUGCUCUUUUGCUUCACUUAUAUUUGUUAGAGCGUGAGCAUAUCUUUUGUAGAAAGAAUUAAACUCUCUUGCUUCACUUAUAUCUAUUUAGAGAGAUGACAGGAACUGGUCAUUCACAUGGUUAGUCAUAAAAUCCUACAUAAACUUGUAGAUCGCUGAAUAUGAUAUGUUUGAUUCCUUGCAAUAGUUUUGCGAUAUAAAGGUGGUGAUAUUAGAGUCGUGCUAGUUGAGUAAUUGUGAAAUUGAGAAAUACUUGUGCUGAGGUUUGCAAGUCCCGUAGCAUGCACGUAUGGUGAACCGUUAUGUAAUGAAGUCGGAGCAUGAGGUGUUUAUUGAUUGUCUUCCUUAUGAGUGACGGUCGGGGACGAGCGAUGGUCUUUUCCUACCAAUCUAUCCCCCUAGGAGCAUGCGCGUAGUACUUUGUUUCGAUGAUUAAUAUAUUUUUGCAAUAAGUAUGUGAGUUCUUUAUGACUAAUGUUGAGUUCAUGGAUUAUACGCACUCUCACCCUUCCAUCAUUGCUAGCCUCUCUAGUACCACGAAACUUUCGCCGGUACCAUAAACCCACCAUAUACCUUCCUCAAAACAGCCACCAUACCUACCUAUUAUAACAUUUCCAUAGCCAUUUCGAGAUAUAUUGCCAUGCAACUUCCAUCAUCAUCAUAUACAUGACUUGAGCAUUUAUUGCCAUAUUGCUUUGCAUGAUCGUAAGAUAGCUAGCAUGAUGUUUUCAUGGCUUGCCCGUUUUUUUGAUGUCAUUGCUACGCUAGAUCAUUGCACAUCCCGGUACACCGCCGGAGGCAUUCAUAUAGAGUCAUAUCUUUGUUCUAGUAUCGAGUUGUAAUAUCGAGUUGUAAGUAAAUAAAAGUGUGAUGAUCAUCAUUAUUAGAGCAUUGCCCCAGUGAGGAAAGGAUGAUGGAGACUAUGAUUCCCCCAUAAGUCGGGAUGAGACUCCGGACUUUAAAAAAAAGAGGCCAAAGAAGCCCAAAUAAAAAAAAGAGGCCAAAGAAGCCCACCAAAAAAAAA